rnacentral:rRNA from 1 species
ACACGACUACAUUAGAUACCCCCGUAGUCCUAGGCGUAAAUGAUGCGAGUUAAGUGUGGGGCAUCUACGAGAUGGCCCUGUGCUGUAGGGUAGCCGUUAAACUCGCUGCCUGGGGAGUACGGUCGCAAGGCUGAAACUUAAAGGGAAUUGGCGGGGGAGCACCACAACGGGUGGAGCUUGCGGUUUAAUUGGAUUCAACGCCGGAAAUCUUACCGGGACCGACAGCAACAUGAAGGCCAGGCUGAAGACUUUGCCGGAUUAGCUG